rnacentral:tRNA from 1 species
AGAGGUUUAGUUAAUUUAUAACGUUGGUCUGUCUCACUAAAAUAAUGGGGGGAGUUCCCAUAGCCUCUU